AGCGAACGUUUGCGGCGGGCUUAACACAUGCAAGUCGAACGAGAAUCUCCGCUUCGGUGGAGAGGAAAGUGGCGCACGGGUGCGUAACACGUGGGUAACCAACCCUCUAGACUGGAACAACUCGGGGAAACUCGGGCUAAUACCGGAUGUGGCAACGGAGUCUUCGGGCUCUGUUGUGAAAGGAGCAAUCCGCUAGAGGACGGGCCCGCGGCCCAUCAGGUAGUUGGAGGGGUAAUGGCCCACCAAGCCGAAGACGGGUAGCUGGUCUGAGAGGAUGAUCAGUCACACUGGAACUGAGACACGGUCCAGACUCCUACGGGAGGCAGCAGUGGGGAAUAUUGCGCAAUGGGCGAAAGCCUGACGCAGCCACGCCGCGUGAGCGAUGAAGGCCUUAGGGUCGUAAAGCUCUGUGGAGAGAGAAGAAGCCUGACGGUAUCUCUUUAGCAAGCACCGGCUAACUCCG
rnacentral:rRNA from 1 species